CUUUGCUUGCAGAGCCAGGACUCGGCGGUGCUGGACAGCAGGAUUGGUGCUUGCUGGGCAGACUUUGGCAAAGAGGACGUGCUGGCUGUGGAUUCCAAAGUGUGGGGCUCCCGCCCUGGCAGCAUUCCCCCUCCCCACAUGCUGGAGGAUAAAGCCAUUGUCCAGGUCCUGGAGAGGCCCCCACCAUCCAGCAAUGUGGCUCUCAACUUCCUUGGCUCCCCUGUGCAGAGGGGCUAUGGGGGCUCUCCCCAGCUCAAGUGCCCUGAUGUGAGGCUGGUGUCCCCCAAGUCCUUCCCACAGCGCUUUCUCCAACAGCAGUUGCCUCUGAUGCCUCGCUCCCAGUGCUCCCCUAGGCCCUUUGUGCCGCCUCGCAGACCCCCUGUGCUCUUCACUUCCAACCAGGUGAUGCAGUGGGCUCUGAGCUCCCCGAGUGUGUCACCUCUGAGGUGGCCCUGGAGCGGCAAGGGAUCGGGGCAGGGUCUCCCAAAGCUCUGCCAUCCGCAGCAGGCUUUGCAGCUCCUGGGCACCCAGCUCUGGUGUCUCGACAGUUGGAAGGUGGAGCCACUGGUGUAGUCAUUGCUUCAUAAAUCUAUUUGCCCUGGUGUCCCCACAGGACCUGCACUGGCCAUGGUGGUGCACUUGGUGUCAUGCUGCAGCACUGGCGAUGGACCUGGGGCAUGCAAUCCCCGGAGACACAUGGGUCCCCUCACCUUGCUCACUGUAGUGGUAGCAUCCUGGUGCGGGUGUCACCUUACCAUGUUACCCCAUGCACCCUCUCUGUGCAGAGAGAGGGUGGCCCCUAAAAGUUGGGGAGCCAGAAGCCAGCAUGGACCCCCCAAACUUCUCCAGGGCCCUUAGAGGAGAAGGCUCAGUCAUCUGAUCAAUUCUCUUUCCAUUUCCAGACCACAGGGUACACAUCUCCAACCCCUUUCCAACCUGUGUUACCCAACAUGAGCCGCCCGCCACAGCCUCUCGCCAUGCACUUUGGUCCCAUGUCUCCCUCUUUGGACCCUGCUCUCUUCUUCAGUCCAUCAUCCAGUGGCCAGCUGAACCUCAGGUAGUGGGAUAGUGUGUGGUGUGCUCGGGUGGGACUGCAGGAGCCCCACAACACAGAGAGGGUGUUCUCCCUCUCUGGGCAUAGCUCUGAGGGUGCUGAGCCCCUGACCCCCAGCUGGUCUCCCCUGCAGUGUGCCCAACUGUCUGACCCAGCUGCACCCACAGCACCAGCGCAUCCUGACCCAGCGGCAGCAGCAGAGGUGAGGGGGUCCCCAGGGACCUGUG
rnacentral:lncRNA from 1 species